rnacentral:rRNA from 1 species
CGCGACCCCAGGUCAGGCGGGGGUACCCGCUGAAUUUAAGCAUAUCAAUAAGCGGAGGA